UAACGCGUGAAGGCGAGCACUCUAGACGAACUGCCGUUGACAAAACGGAGGAAGGUGGGAUGACGUCAAAUCAUCAUGCCCCUUAUGUUCUGGGCUACACACGUGCUACAAUGGCCGGUACAGACGGACGCAAAGCCGCGAGGUGGAGCAAAUCCUAAAAAGCCGGUCUCAGUUCGGAUUGCAGGCUGCAAUUCGCCUGCAUGAAGUCGGAAUCGCUAGUAAUCGCAGGUCAGCAUACUGCGGUGAAUACGUUCCCGGGCCUU
rnacentral:rRNA from 1 species